GAUGAACGCUGGCGGCGUGCCUAAUACAUGCAAGUCGAGCGAACAGACGAGGAGCUUGCUCCUCUGACGUUAGCGGCGGACGGGUGAGUAACACGUGGAUAACCUACCUAUAAGACUGGGAUAACUUCGGGAAACCGGAGCUAAUACCGUAUAAUAUAUUGAACCGCAUGGUUCAAUAGUGGAAGACGGUUUUGCUGUCACUUAUAGAUGGAUCCGCGCCGCAUUAGCUAGUUGGUAAGGUAACGGCUUACCAAGGCAACGAUGCGUAGCCGACCUGAGAGGGUGAUCGGCCACACUGGAACUGAGACACGGUCCAGACUCCUACGGGAGGCAGCAGUAGGGAAUCUUCCGCAAUGGGCGAAAGCCUGACGGAGCAACGCCGCGUGAGUGAUGAAGGUCUUCGGAUCGUAAAACUCUGUUAUUAGGGAAGAACAAAUGUGUAAGUAACUAUGCACGUCUUGACGGUACCUAAUCAGAAAGCCACGGCUAACUACGUG
rnacentral:rRNA from 1 species